GGGGGGGAGAGGGUGGGAAGGAAAAAUUGGAGGUAGGGUGAGGGAAGGGGGAGGGUUGAAGGGAAAAUAAUGAAACAGAGGAAAAAAGAGAAUAACAAGUAAAAAGCAAUGCAUGUAAAUACAGAGCAAGCAAGUAGGAAAGCUAGGCAUAGCACAGCAAAAGAGAGCAAAGCAAAAGAAGGCAAAGAAUGACAAAAAGCAACCUUGCAGGAAUGGAGGAAUCUGUCCAGAGCUGUGCCCCUGCUUGCCACAGGAGCUGCGCGGGAGGAGAAGAACGUGGGCCAAAAGGUAAGAGGAGCUCCUUUGGGUUCUGGGCUUGAAGCAAAGCUGAGAAGCCAUGCCCGGGAGGAGGUGUGGGUAGCUACAGGCCACCUUGCUAUCUCCCCAAGAGAUGAGGUGUGUGGGCUAGGCACCGGGCAGGAGUGCUGGCCAGAAGCAAGCAUCUCUGUGGAGGAAGGCAAAGGGCGGAGGAGGUUCAAGGGUAGCUACCGGGCAUGGCCUUGCUCAGCAAGGGGAGGAAAAGCCUGAAGGGCACGAGAAGGGGAUAGAGAAGGGCAGGCAGUAGGCGUGAAGCUGCGAGCAGAGUAGAGAGCAACUUGGCAGAGCAGCAAGCAGAGUAGGCAAGUGUUGAGGUUUGGCGUGAGUAGCAGCAAAAGCCCAGAGCAUCAAGAAGCAGGAAGUGAGGAGAAGGAAUGGAGGAAUCUGUCCAGAGCUGUGCCCCUGCUUGCCACAGGAGCUGCGCGGGAGGAGAAGAACGUGGGCCAAAAGGUAAGAGGAGCUCCUUUGGGUUCUGGGCUUGAAGCAAAGCUGAGAAGCCAUGCCCGGGAGGAGGUGUGGGUAGCUACAGGCCACCUUGCUAUCUCCCCAAGAGAUGAGGUGUGUGGGCUAGGCACCGGGCAGGAGUGCUGGCCAGAAGCAAGCAUCUCUGUGGAGGAAGGCAAAGGGCGGAGGAGGUUCAAGGGUAGCUACCGGGCAUGGCCUUGCUCAGCAAGGGGAGGAAAAGCCUGAAGGGCACGAGAAGGGGAUAGAGAAGGGCAGGCAGUAGGCGUGAAGCUGCGAGCAGAGUAGAGAGCAACUUGGCAGAGCAGCAAGCAGAGUAGGCAAGUGUUGAGGUUUGGCGUGAGUAGCAGCAAAAGCCCAGAGCAUCAAGAAGCAGGAAGUGAGGAGAAGGUAAGUGAAGGGCAGGCAAGGUAAUGGGAGGCAAAGGCAAGGGGAAAGGGGGGGUAAGGGAGAAAGAAGGGAUGGGGAUGGGGAGGGGAUGGGUGAAGAGCAGAGCGGAGGGAAGGGCUGAGGGGAGGGCUGAAGGCAAACCUAUGAUGAAAAAAGAAAAGAAAAAAAAAACAAAAAAUAUGAAAAAAGAGAAAAAAAGAAAAGAAAAAUAAGAAAAAGAGAAAAAAUGAAAAGAAAAAAGAAAAAAAUGAACAAAAAGAGUAAAAAAGAAAAAAAUGAAAAAAGAGAAAAGAGAAAAAAAAAGAAAAAAUGAACAAAAAGAGAAAAGAGAAAAAAUGAAAAAAAAGAGAAAAAGAGAAAAGAAAAGAAAUGAAAAAAAAGAGAAAAAAGAGAAAAGAUAAAAAAGAAAAAGAUAAAGAAAAAAAGAAAAAGAAAAUAGAAAUAAAAGAGGAAGAAAAAUAUGAAAAAAAGAAAAAGAAAAAAGAAAAGAAAAAACAGUAGAUGAAAAAGAAAAAACAAAAGGAAAAACGAAUAAUGACAAGAGAAGAAAGGUAAAGAGAAAAGAAGAAAAAAGCCAAGUCAAAAAGUAAAGAAUAACUCGAAGGAAGGAGUGGAUGGCAAGAAAUACAGAGAAAGCAGUGCAUAGCACAGCAGAGCAAAGCAAGGCAAAAUAGCAGCCAAAGCCACGAGAAUCAAGAAGUCAGUGAAGAGCAGGAAAGGUAAGUUUCCCUUAAAGCAAGGGGGAAUGGUAGUGGAAGGGAGAAAAGAGAGGGGAGGGGAGGGGAAGUGAAGGAGUGGGGGGAGAGGGGGAGGAGCAGUGGGGAAAGCGGUGGGGCUAGAGGGGGGUGAGGGGGCAAGAGGGGGAGGGAGGAGGG
rnacentral:lncRNA from 7 species